UUUAAAAAGUGCUUAUUACCUGUCAUAUAAAAUGACGACAAACUUUUCGAUUACUGUAAACGCCUCGCUAGUACUCCCCUCAUAUGCUGCCAGAAACCCUUCUGUGGCAUUGGGAAAUGCGUUCCAUGCAUCUAUUGCACUUUUUUUUCCUUUCCCGUUAAAAUAGGACACAGUAUCACAACCUGUGAAGGCAUGGAACAGGGGGAGGACUUUCGCUUUUUGUGGCCCUGUAAAAGAAAAUAAUAUGUUUUAUAUAGCCCGCCUAGCGUUAUAGUCUCAGUGCAUUCUAUUCUAUUCUAGCUAGUGGCUAGGGCGUAACGUAGAUAAAUACAAUUUAUAAUUAUUUUUUACCUAGAGUUUUUGCUAUUUCGUGACAAGGAAGAUACUGGUGGUGUUUACCAGUACCUACGUGUACCCACAGCUCUUCUAGCUCAGGUACUAGGCGGGCUAUAUAAAACAUAUUAUUUUCUUUUACAGGGCCACAAAAAGCGAAAGUCCUCCCCCUGUUCCAUGCCUUCACAGGUUGUGAUACUGUGUCCUAUUUUAACGGGAAAGGAAAAAAAAGUGCAAUAGAUGCAUGGAACGCAUUUCCCAAUGCCACAGAAGGGUUUCUGGCAGCAUAUGAGGGGAGUACUAGCGAGGCGUUUACAGUAAUCGAAAAGUUUGUCGUCAUUUUAUAUGACAGAGCCAGUUCAUUUACAACCGUAAACGAAGCCCGAAAGCACCUAUUCUCGAAAAAAGACCGCCAAUUGGAGAAUAUACCUCCGACGAAAGCUGCUCUAUACCAGCAUUUCCUGCGGGCAGUGUUCCAAGCAGUCCAUGUAUGGGGUCAGAUGUCACCGAAUCAAAAUCUUCCCUGUCCAUCUAACUGGGGAUGGAGAAAAGUCAGUGAAAGCUGGCAACCUACAUGGACAGACUUGCCCGUAGCUGCAGAUGCAUGCCUGGAAAUGAUCCGGUGCAGAUGCAAAAAGAGGUGCGGCGGCUCGAGGUGCCGGUGCUUUCAGCGGCAAUUUAAGUGCACGGAGCUUUGCGAUUGUGGGGGACAAUGUAAAUAAUAAACAUUUUUAAGUAAAAUUCUA